rnacentral:rRNA from 1 species
UACGAGGGGGCAAGCGUUGUUCGGAAUUAUUGGGCGUAAGGCGUAUGUAGGCGGCCGAGUAAGUCAGGUGUGUAAGCCCGUGGCCCAACCACGGAAUUGCAUUUGAAACUGCUUGGCUUGAGUACAGGAGAGGAAAGCGGAAUUCCCAGUGUAGUGGUGAAAUGCAUUGAUAUUGGGAAGAACAUCUGUGGCGAAGGCGGCUUUCUGGUCUGUUACUGACGCUGAGAUACGAAAGCCAGGGGAGCGAACGGG